rnacentral:rRNA from 1 species
CUACGUAGGUGGCAAGCGUUGUCCGGAAUUAUUGGGCGUAAAGCGCGCGCAGGCGGCUUCUUAAGUCUGAUGUGAAAGCCCACGGCUCAACCGUGGAGGGUCAUUGGAAACUGGGAGGCUUGAGUGCAGAAGAGGAGAGCGGAAUUCCACGUGUAGCGGUGAAAUGCGUAGAGAUGUGGAGGAACACCAGUGGCGAAGGCGGCUCUCUGGUCUGUAACUGACGCUGAGGCGCGAAAGCGUGGGGAGCGAACAGGAUUAGAUACCCUGGUAGUCCACGCCGUAAACGAUGAGUGCUAAGUGUUGGAGGGUUUCCGCCCUUCAGUGCUGCAGCUAACGCAUUAAGCACUCCGCCUGGGGAGUACGGCCGCAAGGCUGGA